AAAGCACUUUCAGUAGGGAGGAAGGUAGUGUAGUUAACACCUGCAUUAUUUGACGUUACCUACAGAAGAAGCACCGGCUAACUCCGUGCCAGCAGCCGCGGUAAUACGGAGGGGUGCGAGCGUUAAUCGGAAUUACUGGGCGUAAAGCGCAUGCAGGCGGCCUGUUAAGUCAGAUGUGAAAGACCCGGGGCGUUAACCUCGGAAAUUGCAUUUGAAACUGGCAGGCUAGAGUCUUGUAGAGGGGGGUAGGAAUUUCAGGUGUAGCGGUGAAAUAGCGUAGAGAUCUGAAGGAAUACCAGUGGCGAAGGCGGCCCCCUCGGACAAAGACUGACGCUCAGAUGCGAAAGCGUGGGGAGCAAACAGGAUUAGAUACCCCUGGUAG
rnacentral:rRNA from 1 species